AUUGAACGCUGGCGGCAUGCCUUACACAUGCAAGUCGAACGGUAACAGGGAGCUUGCUCCGCUGACGAGUGGCGAACGGGUGAGUAAUGUAUCGGAACGUACCAUUCAGUGGGGGAUAACGUAGCGAAAGUUACGCUAAUACCGCAUAUUCUGUGAGCAGGAAAGCAGGGGAUCGCAAGACCUUGCGCUGAUUGAGCGGCCGAUAUCAGAUUAGCUAGUUGGUGAGGUAAAGGCUCACCAAGGCGACGAUCUGUAGCGGGUCUGAGAGGAUGAUCCGCCACACUGGAACUGAGACACGGUCCAGACUCCUACGGGAGGCAGCAGUGGGGAAUUUUGGACAAUGGGGGCAACCCUGAUCCAGCCAUGCCGCGUGAGUGAAGAAGGCCUUCGGGUUGUAAAGCUCUUUCGGCCGGGAAAAAAAUCGCAUCAGUUAAUACCUGGUGUGGAUGAUGGUACCGGAAUAAGAAGCACCGGCUAACUACGUG
rnacentral:rRNA from 1 species